UACGAAGGGGGCUAGCGUUGCUCGGAAUCACUGGGCGUAAAGCGCACGUAGGCGGAUUGUUAAGUCAGGGGUGAAAUCCUGGAGCUCAACUCCAGAACUGCCUUUGAUACUGGCGAUCUUGAGUCCGGGAGAGGUGAGUGGAACUGCGAGUGUAGAGGUGAAAUUCGUAGAGAUCAUGAGGAAGACCAGUGGCGAAGGCGGGUCUCGUGGACAGUUCCUGACACUGAGACACGAAGGCCAGGGGAGCAAACGGG
rnacentral:rRNA from 1 species